rnacentral:sRNA from 1 species
UUCUAGCCCCGAUUAAAGGGGAAAUCCUCCCGAUUUUUUUUAUCGGGAGAUUGCAGCGUAAAUCUGGAAAUAAG